ACCAGAGUGGCGCAGCGGAAGCGUGCUGGGCCCAUAACCCAGAGAUCGAUGGAUCGAAACCGUCCUCUGCUA
rnacentral:tRNA from 1 species